GCAGAUCUCCAGAGCUAUCCUGCCGCCAUCCCAGAGUGCCCCGUAUAAUGCUCAUGCUUGGAACCCUAUGUCCAAGUUGUAAGGAAGCCCAAGCAGCCCAUAAAGAGGCCCACGUUAAGAAGAACCAGGACCCACAGUCUAAGUGAACUCUCAGCUAAUAGCACCAUUUUGCCAACCAUGAGUCAAACUGGCAGCUUCAAGGACCUUGGCUGAAAUUGGUCCAUUUGGAUAUGUGUGCUUGUUUCUGCAAUGUCCUGAAUGACUGUGGGAAAGGGCUUCACAAGGCUUCAUAAGACACCUGGAUCUCAUAUCUGCUUCUGCAUUCAAUCUGUUGCACCAAGUUGUUUUGACUGAAGGGUAUGAAGAAAAACUGGCCUCAUCCAAAUAUGCGGUUGGAAAAGGGUGGAGUAUUUUAACAGCCCUUCAAAUAAUUGGUCCCAGUGAUCAAGCUUUGUCUCCAGCAUCAUUUUACCCUUUAUUCUUGGAAGGGACACUGGAGGCGACUGAUUCCAACCCCUCGACUUGAAAGUUGAAAGAUGCAAAGCACAGAGCAGGGGAUGACAUGCUCAAGGCCCCAUCACCAGUCGGAGGCAGACCUGCAUAGAACUUGGGACAUAAAUGUAGGCACACACAAAACCCAGAGACAUUCCACCGACAUUUAAAAUCAAGAAUCCUCCCUGAUAUAGUAUGACCUUGUAAAUGAUGCAAAGGGUUUGAACAAUUCAAAACAAACAAACAAACAAAAAAACAGGUCUAGGAUAAGUUUUUUCAAAAUCAUCAAAUAUAAAUUUCAACCCAAUUUUUUAAUUUCAUAAAACCAAGGUUAAAAGAGGUUGAGUGAUUAGUUAAAAGUUAUGGGCAAGUGAUGGUAACGUCAAGCCUCUAAUUCAUAUAUUUGCCAAGCUCUAGCUUUGAAUGAUAUUGUAACUCGAAAGGAAUAAUGUUGUUCUUUUUAGAAAAUAACAUGGUCAUGGUAGACCACUUGGAAAAAUAUACAUAAACAUAAGGACAAAGUGACCCAUACAUUAAAGAUAAUCACUGUUAAUAUUUUUAUUAAAUGAAAAGCAUUACAUGUAACUUUACCUAAGUUUAUCAGAAAAAAAGAAUUAAAGAGGGUCGGUAUGGUGGUUCACGCCUAUAAUCCCAGCACUCUGG